GAAUGGUUCUGUGACUGUGUGGGUCAGCGGGUGUGAGGUGGUACGUUUUUGGCGGUAUCUUAAUUUGUUUUUUGGGAUGGUGGUAAAGAUAGUGAUUUCAAUUUAGUGCGUGUGGUCAUCACGUGAGUGAGUCAUGAAUGGUUCUGUGACUGUGUGGGUCAGCGGGUGUGAGGUGGUACGUUUUUCACAGGUAGAUGUAAUAUCAUUAUUAAAGCAACUGUAUCAGUUAAUACAAAAAUUUUGUAAAUUCAAAAAUAAAAAUUAUUUUUUUAUUUUACAUAUUUAUUUUUACAAAUAUUCAUGUUAAUUUGUCCAUUCUACACAUUUAUUCAAUAACAUAUACAAUUUUUUUUAUAAUUUUUUAUUAUUUCCUUCACCCUUCACACUUCUCUUGAAAUCCUCUCACACACGACCCAAGCCACCAUCAUCAAGCACAGUCACUACAGGCCGUGCACCAUCAUCAGCCACUAAUCAAAACCCAGAUCAUCAAGCUCUCCCUUCACCUACUGAUCAAACAAAGAAAGGAGUAGUCAUACAUUCAAAACAAAUAAAGGGUACGAAAGAGUUGUUGGGUUUGUUUUAAAUGUCAAGCUCGAUAACUUUAAAUCGAAAGAGGCACAAGCCCAUGAGAUUGAACCCAAUAUUUUAUUUGAAAUUUUAGGUCUUUUGCUUAAAAAAUCACCAAUAUGAUGUUUGUCAACUUUUUAUUUUUGCCGGUGUUAUAUUAUCAUUUUGACGAUAUUAUGCCAAUGAAUAUCAUGCAUUCUUGAAAAAAUAGAAAUUUUUUCCAUAGAAAUAAUAGUGUUUCACUAAAAUUGAAAUCUAAUGUCCCAUAUCAUAUCAUGUAUCAUGAUGCUUUUUCAAUCCAAAGCAAAUCGGUCUUCUUACCACAUUUAAAACACAAAAAUAGUGAGAUACUAUUUUUAUACUUAAAAUAAUUUUAAAAAUUACUAUUUAUGUUUUAUUGUCUUAGGACAUUAAAUCUCUAACACCUCUAACCCACUACUAAUCAAUAAAAUAUUUUUAUUUCUUUCAUUUUGGAUUUUAUUAUUUUUACUAUUUAAAUAAAAUAAAUGGCAAUUCCAUGUAAGAGUGUAAGACCCUAAAUCUAUGGGGAAAUAUAACGGGGCACUAACACAACACCACUAAUUCACGCGGGUUUGUCCCAACAAAGAGUUGGUGGACUGAGGGUGGGACCUCUCACAUACUUACUAUGAUAAGGCUAGUGGUAUAGGACUAGGAAAAAAAAUGCAAUAACUCAAGCUCAUGCCAUCACAUAUACAAAUAGAAAUUGUAGACUCAAAAGGAAUUGGUCAUUGUUGCAAGAAACAAGAUUUUAUUGUCUUAAUACUUAUUGACCUCAUAUCAUCUUGAAAGGUUACAAGCAUAGAGGUUAUAAGGUUACAAGCAUAAAUGUUAAGCUACGUUCUAAUGUUAUAACUUACAACCAAACUAAUGAAUUUGUUUAAUUAUUACAUUACAACACACUUAUUACUAGUAAUAAAGAUUAUAAUUCCUGUUGUAGUCCUUAUUCAGUGUACCAAACAUACCCUAAGUGCCACAAAAUAAUAUUACAUGUGUUUAAUUUGUCCAAUAAAAUAAUGUCACGUGACGGACUAAAAAUGAUGUGAAUAAUAGACACAAUUGAUACUUAUAAUAAAUUUCACAAUAAAUUUAGUUUUUCACAAAUACUUAUAAUAAAUUUCAUUAUAAUUAAAACAAUUAAAUACUUAAAUAAUUUCACAAAUACUUAUAAAAAGUUGCAUUGUUACCAUUAUUUAAUCAUUAAAUUUAGAUAAUUGUUUGUAGCAAGAAGCCAAAGAGUCAGUUUAGCCAAAAAAAAAAAAGCAACCAAGAGUCCAAAAAAAAAGUUAUCACUGUACUGUGUAAGCCUCUACGAAAAAAAAAAAAAAAAAAAAAAAAAAAAAGUUGUGUGGCUCUUUUUUUACCACGUAUCCACGUGAGGACAACAUUACUUUUCAGAAAUUGUUGUGUAAGGGAACUUGUUUCAGCCAAGGGAGAACUUGUUUCAGAAAGUCUUGUUUCAGCCAAGGUAGAACUUCGUCUUCAGAGACAGAGACCACUAAAAUCAAAGAGAACUCAAGCACGAAAUGGGGAUGGCUUCAAGGAACACCCGAUCAUGAACCAAGCCUGGCUGACGCACCCAUUUGAAGGCCCCUCCUGUCGUCGGCAACAGAUAGUUGUUUAGCUUUGAAGUUCCGGCGCCGAGAUUCACAAGUAUUUAAGACCCAUAUUGAUUUCUUUUUUAUAAAUAUUAAAGUCAUAAUUUUUUUUAUUGAUUAUAUGUUCUGGUUUUGUUCCAGGAACAUCUGAAAUUUGUAUGUAUAAUUUUUGUAAGUGGAUUUUUGUUUUAAUGAGAAUUUUUGUAAGAAGUUGUUUGGUGG